ensembl:lncRNA
UCUGUAUCAAGGUUUAACAAGCUGACCUUCAACCAUAAAUUCACUGCAUGUUCUAGGUGAAAGUGUAUUGUACUCUAGCAUUUUCCUCAACACUUAUUACCCAUAAAUGCACUAAAUUAUGCCUCAAUAAGUCGGAUCCUAUUAUAUUUUGUGUUGAUGUGACUUGACUAACUAUCAGUACGUCAGUUUUAGCUUUUUAUUAGCUUUCAAAUUAUUUCUACAUUCCUAAACAAUGACCCCUUUAGCUCAGAUGUCUGCUGGUAUAUUUCGAUUGUGCGUCCAUCUUAUCCUUUUCAGGGUCGCGGGGGGCGCUGGAGCCUAUCCCAGCUGUCAUAGAGCGAGAGGCGGGGUAGACCCUGGACAGGUUGCCAGUCGCAGGGCUAACACACAGAGACAGACAACCAUUCGCGCUCACAUUCACACCUAUGGGCAAUUUUGGAUUAAUCAAUUAACCUUUCCCCACAAACUGCAUGUCUUUGGACCGUGGGAGGAAGCCGGAGUACCCGGAGGGAACCCACGCAAACACGGGGAGAACAUGCAAAUUUCACACAGAAAGACCCCGGCCUGAUGGUGGAACUGAACUGAGGACCUUCUUGCUGUGCGGCAACAGUGCUAACCACCGUGCCACUGUGCUGCCCUGCUUUAUAUAUAGUCUAAAAAAAAAAAAACCCAAAAGUUUGAUGCUACAGCUGCAUAAAGUGUCAUACUUCUGCAAGCUCUGGUUCACACCCCCAGUGUUGCCAUCAGUCAGUCUCCAUCUCUUUGCUGACCCUUUCUCUGCUCUCCUUGCUCCUUAUGUUUCUCACCUCCUGUAUCCCAUCAGGCUGACCCGGGCGUGUUACCCGUGGUGAGUGAGACACGCGAGCAAGAAAACCCCAGGCCAAUGCUGCUGGGAAAACCAUCAUCCACAUUCACACCUCCACCCCCCAACCCGUCAACUUCACAGCAGCACCGAACACCAGCUAAUUUAUUACAUGUGUCUUUCUACUGGGCAGGGAUAAAGGCAUAUAAAGAAUGACCUCAUCUCCCUCUCUCUCUCUCCCUCUCUCUCUCUCACACACACUC